CAGCACCUCACGCCUCAUCUCUUUGCUGCCUCGCCGGAGACGCCGCUCCUCGCGCCGCCACAGAUUAGAAAGAGGGCGUAGGAUGAGAGAGUGGAGAAGAAGAUACCUGGGUAGCUGACGCUGCGGUCCUCGAUCAACAGUCACACACCGCCAUGAGAAAGAGACAAGAGAUGGAGAGUACAGCAUGAAGAAGAAGAAGAAAUCCGAUCGUCACACACCGAACUUUUUUGUCCGUCCGAUCGUCACGUAUCAGAUUCUGAUUUUUUUAAUCAAAGAAUAACGAUCAAUGUUCUGAAUUAAUCCACAUAACAGAUAGAAGCACAAUA